UACGAAGGGGGCUAGCGUUGCUCGGAAUCACUGGGCGUAAAGCGCACGUAGGCGGAUUGCUAAGUCAGGGGUGAAAUCCUGGAGCUCAACUCCAGAACUGCCCUUGAUACUGGCAGUCUCGAGUCCGGGAGAGGUGAGUGGAACUGCGAGUGUAGAGGUGAAAUUCGUAGAUAUUCGCAAGAACACCAGUGGCGAAGGCGGCUCACUGGCCCGGUACUGACGCUGAGGUGCGAAAGCGUGGGGAGCAACAGGG
rnacentral:rRNA from 1 species